rnacentral:lncRNA from 1 species
AGCCUCCCUCGAACGAAAAAAACCCUCCUCUCGAUCCACCCCUCGUGCGACCGCUCUCUUCCCCUCUCCUCCCGAUGUGGCGCUGCCCCCAUCUCUUGCUCCGCCGCCGCCGCCCCUGCCUCCCUCCCGCUCAGCCACCUCCACCGCUCCCACCCUUCUCCCCAUUGUCGGAUCCACUUGCAUAUCGUCAAGGUUAGGCGGCGAAGCUCCACGUCCGCGACGCGCACAUGCUCGUCAAGGAAGAGGCUCCCGGAUCUGAGGUCGCGCGGCCGUGACGGAAGGGCUCGAGGUGGCCGCCGAAGACCAAGUCCCCACAAUGUCUAGAAUCGCUUCCUCCCCCGUGUUCCACUGAGGAAGGAGCCAUCGCCGCCGAUCGUCUUCCCCGAUGGUCGCCGUCUUUCCUUCCGGUCCCCACGGAUCCUCCGAUCACUGUCUUGUGGUCGGCGAACUCAACAGCUGUGCUCUGACGCACGGGAUCCGGCCGGGGUACAUCAGUACAACCGCCUUGCCCCUCUCUCUUGCUAUAGCAGAUGAGAGUCGGUAAGAGGGGAGGCAGAGAGGAUCUCAAGAGGUGAAGAACAGAGGGCGAGGGAUGGAAUUGGAAGGAGGAGGAGGAGAUCCCCGCGGCAUGCAGUGUCAAAUCUCGUGCUCGCCAUCCCCAUCGCUGCGUCCUCUGCUCCCAUCAGUGGCUCGCCAUUGUUGACCGCACCUGCAGUUGGCUCUCUGUCCCGGCCAUGGUCUCAUCGCCUCCCCUCCAUACCUCAGCACUGCAACACCCUCAACGCUGCCAGGCGAUGAGUGCAGAGACGAAUCUCACAUAUCCAUCAAAGCUUUCAGGUUGUCCCCUUCCUUUCCCCUUCCCCACUUUUUUGUUUUACCAGUGCAUGAACUUACCCACCCACGCCAUCUGUUUGCUAAAAUGCUUCAUAGAGCUAUAUAAAAUUUUAACCUCAUUGACAUUUGCUUGUUACAAUGCUUUAUGGGAAUAAAAUUGUCAGACAUCAUAUUGGUUCUGGUUUUACCACAGAUGUAUGCUUUAUGAGCAGGAGGACUUUAUGACUCGACAAGUUCCUCUGCAUCAUACGGGUGUGGCAACUCCCCACUUGGUGAGGAUCUUAUUGCUGAGUAGUCAACGACAUCACCUGCAUCAACCCCUCCCUGGUUGCCAUCCAUGUGCGACCAACCGUCCAACUUAUUUUCACGUGGGAGUACAUUCUAUCGACGCCCUUUUAAUUUACAAGUAAGUUUCAGAUUCAUGUUCGUCUACACUCUUGUCACUAUAUAUUCAUGCAACAAGUUACAACUUGCUAACAAUUGUAGGGAAUGGCUGAGAAGCACGGAUUUAUUUUCAUGGGCACAAAAAUAAUAAUCAAGACCUUAGUAGACUGGCUGUACCUUGAUGAGAGUGU